rnacentral:rRNA from 1 species
AGUAGUUUGGGAAUGCUGCUCAAAAUGGGAGGUAUAUUUCUUCUAAAGCUAAAUACCGGCCAGAGACCGAUAGCGCACAAGUAGAGUGAUCGAAAGAUGAAAAGCACUUUGAAAAGAGGGUUAAACAGCACGUGAAAUUGUUAAAAGGGAAGCGCUUGUGACCAGACUUGCGCCCGGUGAAUCACCCAGCUCUCGCGGCUGGGGCACUUUGCCGGCUCAGGCCAGCAUCAGCUCGCCGUCGGGGACAAAAGCUUCGGGAACGUAGCUCUCUUCGGGGAGUGUUAUAGCCCGCUGCACAAUACCCUUCGGCGGGCUGAGGUACGCG